GCCGGGUUGGCCGAGCGGUCUAAGGCGGCGGUCUUGAAAAUCGUUGGACGUAAUGUCACGUGGGUUCAAAUCCUACACCCGGCG
rnacentral:tRNA from 1 species